ensembl:rRNA 5S_rRNA 5S ribosomal RNA
ACCUAUGGCCAUGCCACCCUGCUCAUCAGAGCUCAGAAGCUAAGGAGGGUAGGUCUAGGUUGUUACUUGGAUGAGAGAUUGCCUGGGAAUACUGGUGGCUAUAGGCU